rnacentral:rRNA from 1 species
GCGGAGGAAAAGAAACUAACUAGGAUUCCCUCAGUAACGGCGAGUGAAGCGGGACUAGCUCAGGAUGUGAAUCUGCGCUGUAUGGCGCCGAAUUGUGGUCUAUAGACUUUGACGUUAUCUGCCGGGCCAAGUUCCUUGGAAAAGGACAGCUGAGAGGGUGAGACUCCCGUCCGCCUGGUAGAGUGAGUCGUUGUCAACGAGUCGAGUUGUUUGGGAUUGCAGCUCUAAUUUGGUGGUAAAUUCCAUCUAAAGCUAAAUAUUGGUGGGAGACCGAUAGCGUACAAGUACCGUGAGGGAAAGAUGCAAAGAACUUUGAAAAGAGAGUUAAAGAGUACCUGAAAUUGCUGAAACGGAAGCGAAGGAAACCAGUGUUUGUUGGUUCAUAUUUCCCUGGCCACUUGUGGUUUGGGCGCUGUGAGCUUGCGUGGGUUUGCUUUGGUUGAUCCCUUUGGAAGAGCGCAGUCAGAGUUGAUGUCUGUUGCUAGCACUGGGUUUGACUAAUGCAGACGAAAUGGUUUUCUUUACCCCGUCUUGAAACACGGACCAAGGAGUCUAACAUAUGUGCGAGUACAGGGGUGUCAAACCCCGGUGCGUAAUGAAAGUGACAGUGGUUGGAUAUUUGCACAAUCCGCCGGCCUCAAUCCUUCGGGAGAACGGUCUGAGUGUGAGCAUACAUGUUGGGACCCGAAAGAUGGUGAACUAUGCCUGAAUAGGGUGAAGCCAGGGGAAACUCUGGUGGAGGCUCGUAGCGAUUCUGACGUGCAAAUCGAUCGUCAAAUUUGGGUAUAGGGGCGAAAGACUAAUCGAACCAUCUAG